rnacentral:rRNA from 1 species
GAUGAACGCUGGCGGCGUGCCUAAUACAUGCAAGUCGAGCGAAUGGAUUAAGAGCUUGCUCUUAUGAAGUUAGCGGCGGACGGGUGAGUAACACGUGGGUAACCUGCCCAUAAGACUGGGAUAACUCCGGGAAACCGGGGCUAAUACCGGAUAACAUUUUGAACCGCAUGGUUCGAAAUUGAAAGGCGGCUUCGGCUGUCACUUAUGGAUGUCCCCGCGUCGCAUUAGCUAGUUGGUGAGGUAACGGCUCACCAAGGCAACGAUGCGUAGCCGACCUGAGAGGGUGAUCGGCCACACUGGGACUGAGACACGGCCCAGACUCCUACGGGAGGCAGCAGUAGGGAAUCUUCCGCAAUGGACGAAAGUCUGACGGAGCGACGCCGCGUGAGUGAUGAAGGCUUUCGGGUCGUAAAACUCUGUUGUUAGGGAAGAACAAGUGCUAGUUGAAUAAGCUGGCACCUUGACGGUACCUAACCAGAAAGCCACGGCUAACUACGUGCCAGCCGCCGCGGUAA